rnacentral:rRNA from 1 species
GCCCUACGGGGCGCAGCAGGCGCGAAACCUCUGCAAUGCGGGAAACCGUGACAGGGGGAUUCCAAGUGCUCAUGCAUUGCAUGGGCUGUUCUUUGGUCUAAGUAACCAGAGGAGUAAGGGCUGGGCAAGACCGGUGCCAGCCGCCGCGGUAAUACCGGCAGCUCGAGUGGUAGCCGCGAUUAUUGGGCCUAAAACGUUCGUAGCCGGAUAAGUAAGUCUUUGGUUAAAUCCUACGACUUAACCGUGGGAAAUCUAGAGAUACUGCUUGUCUGAGA